rnacentral:rRNA from 1 species
GCACAAGCGGUGGAUGAUGUGGAUUAAUUCGAUGCAAACGCGAAAAAACCUUUACCUAACCCUUGACAUGCCACUAACGAAGCAGAGAUGCAUUAGGUGCCCGAAAGGGAAAGUGGACACAGGUGCUGCAUGGCUGUCGUCAGCUCGUGUCGUGAGAUGUUGGGUUAAGUCCCGCAACGAGCGCAACCCUUGCCGAUAGUUGCUACGAAAGGGCACUCUAUCGGGACUGCCGGUGACAAACCGGAGGAAGGUGGGGAUGACGUCAAGUCCUCAUGGCCCUUAUGGGUAGGGCUUCACACGUCAUACAAUGGUCGGUACAAAGGGUCGCCAACCCGCGAGGGGGAGCCAAUCCCAUAAAGCCAUUCGUAGUCCGGAUCGCAGUCUGCAACUCGACUGCGUGAAGUCGGAAUCGCUAGUAAUCGUGGAUCAGAAUGUCACGGUGAAUACGUUCCCGGGUCUU